CGUCAGUAUGAGUCAAAGCUUGGAAGACCUAAUUCUGGAAAAGCUCCCAUGUUUGUUUCCUGUGCUUUUCUUCUGAGCUUCUCUUCUGAGCUCCUCUUCUGUUAUAUUGUCUUAAUUUUUAAGAGAAAUCUACAUUAUCAGGUAAUUACUUAAGUUUCUGUGAUAUGUUCUUCAGUAAUAUUUGAGACAGGAACACUUUUCAAUUUGGCUUCUGCUUUCGACAAAAGCUUGCUUUUUUUUCCCCUCGCUUUUUCUGGGUAUGGAUGAUUUGUUUGCUUUCUUCCCCUCCUGUUGUUAGUGUUUCUAAUUUUAGUUGUUAGUCCGAGAAAGAACCUCUCUUUUUUUGUCUUUUUUUGGUGGGUAGAAUGGGUUGCAAAAGGAGAAGCACCGGAAGUUCGGGCAGGGUUGACGUUGAUGAUGAUGAAGUGCAUGAUCUAGGUAAUGAUGUGAGGUUGGCCAGGCGAUGGAAGAGAAGGGUUGUUGCCUAUCAAGAUUCCAAGCUCAAUCAUGGUCGUAAAAUUAGCUCUGGUGAAGGUAAUUGCAAUAAGGGUUCUAAGAAAUUACCUGAAACUAGCUACAUUUUGAUCAGUGAUGAUGAUGAUGCAAUGGAUGUUGAUUACGCGGCUUAUUUCAAUAGUAUAGCUUUAGAACCAAAUGGUAAUAGUCAUGUCGAUAAGCGUAGGCCUGAGGAUGAUGGUGACACUGGAAGUGGUGCAUUGGCAGAGAACAUGUCGUUAACUGUUGUUGAUGCUCUAGAUAAUGAUGCAGAUCCUCAGAACAGGAUGGUGCUGGAAAGCAACAAUGUUGAAAUUGAUGAUAGUAAAGAAGGAGAAUAUUUGGAUUCUGAUUACAUGAAGUAUUUGGAUUGUAUAGCUUUAGAACCGUUUGUUGAUAAUAGUGUUGUUUAUAUUGAUAAUAUUGUGGAUAAUUGUGUUAAUACCAAUGCUGUUAAUGGGUUAGUAGAGAAUGGUACCAGUGGGGAUAAAUGGAUAGAGAAAGAAUCCAUCAAUGGUGAUGCUUCUAAUCACGAUAAUAAUGCCUGUGGUGAUUUGGAUCUGCAGCACAAGGAAAUUACAGAAAACAACAAUGUUGAAUUUGAUGAUGAUGUUGAUUACAAGAAGUUUCUUGUUUCAGAACUGUUUGGUGGUGGUGGUAAUGAUCAGCAUGUGGCUAAUGUUGCUAAUGAUAUCAAUUUUGAUAACCAUUCUGCUGAGGUUGAUCCUUGUGGCAAUCAGUCCGUAGAGAACGGUACAACUGAUUGUGGGUUUGUAGAGCCUAGGGCUGCAGACAAUAAUGCUGAUUACAAUGAUGCUUUGGAUGAUAUUGAUCCUGAAUAUAAGAUGUUCCUUGGAAAUUUGAGAGAAGAUGGAAAAUCAUAUGUGGUUGAAGUUCCACUGAAUGAUGAUGUAUCUGUCAUUAUUAAGUAUGAAAUGGAUGAUGGGUCACACAAUGGGUGCGGAGUAGAAAAUCUUAGUAAAACAAGGCCUUGUCAAGAAGCUGCUGGUGGGACCAAGCAUGAUCACAAGCCAGAGAUGGAAAGUGAUAUGGAUGAGAGCUACAAAAUAUUCCUCAAUUGUCUGAAGAGAGAGGGGGGUAAUAUGGUAUUUGUACAUGAAAGUGGUGCAAGGGUGAUAUAUGAAGAGGAUGAAGAGAGUUCAUCUGAUUCUGAAGUAAUUGUGAUGGAUACUGAUCCAUUUGCUAAUGCAAAUUAUACUCCUUUUGUGCUUUCAAAGCAACAUAUUGUAACGAUGCCAUUGAGGACGUUAAAGAUUCUUCUAGAAAUCAGUGCAUUUGGUUUAUGGAGAGUGUUAUGGGAAUCCUCAAAAAGCCUUAUGACCCAGAGGAGUAUGAUAAACUUUUGGAAGAAGUAUAUAGCCGCAAGCCAGUUAUAGAGGACAGAGAAAUGCGAAAUGGACGGACUAGAUUAUGCCCAGCCCAAAGAAUGGGGAAAUCAUAUGUUGAUCUGCACCAGGAUCUUGACAAACAGAUCAAGUCGGCCGGGUCUAAUAAGCCUAAAAUUUUGAAUCUCUUGCGUGGAUUUUUCUAUUGGUUGCAGCAUACACCACAUGAAGGAAUUUUCAAACCAUGGAUGGACUCGUCAUGCUUGGAAGUGUUGCCACAUGGAAAUGUUGCAUCUGAUUCAUAUUGACAUCUGAGAAGAUUACGAGUGGAAUCUAGCCUGUGAAAGAAUAUUCUGGCAGACAAGAUUGUGCAUUCAAAUAUUGCAUCAGUUAAAGAUGUCAACACAGUGGAGCUAAGUUUGGUGGCUGAAGGUGUUUGCUUGAUGCAACUUUUUGAAUGUUGUGGGUGACAGGCUUAUAUUAACUGUAAAUCAGGUCAUGUCAACACUCAUAACCAAAAACCUGUGUAUAUAUUGUCUAGCUGCUGCUCAAUUUGAAUCUUAUUAUGCAUCUUCAAUCUGUCCAUCAUUAUUAAAC